UACGUAGGGGGCGAGCGUUAUCCAGAUUUACUGGGCGUAAAGCGCGUGUAGGCGGCUGGUUAGGUGUGAUGUGAAAUCCUCGGGCUCAACCCGAGAACUGCAUUGCAAACCGGCCUGGCUAGAGUGCAGGAGAGGGAGGCGGAAUUCCAGGUGUAGCGGUGAAAUGCGUAGAUAUCGUCUGGAACGCCGAAGGUGAAAACAGCUCGCUGGGAUUGUGCUGACGCUGAGACACGAAAGCCAGGGGAGCGAACGGG
rnacentral:rRNA from 1 species